UACGAAGGGUGCUAGCGUUGUUCGGAAUCACUGGGCGUAAAGCGUGCGUAGGCGGCGAUACAAGUCAGAGGUGAAAUCCCAGAGCUUAACUCUGGAACUGCCUUUGAAACUGUAUUGCUAGAGUGUUGGAGGGGAUAGCGGAAUUUCUAAUGUAGCGGUGAAAUGCGUAGAUAUUAGAAGGAACACCGGCGGCGAAGGCGGCUAUCUGGACAACAACUGACGCUGAGGCACGAAAGCGUGGGGAUCAAACAGG
rnacentral:rRNA from 1 species